UACGAGGGGGGCGAGCGUUGUUCGGAAUUAUUGGGCGUAAAGGGUGCGUAGGCGGUUCCGCAAGUCCUGUGUGAAAUCUUCGGGCUCAACUCGAAGUCUGCACGGGAAACUGCGGGGCUUGAGUAUGGGAGAGGUAAGCGGAAUUCCUGGUGUAGCGGUGAAAUGCGUAGAUAUCAGGAGGAACACCUGUGGUGUAGACAGCUUACUGGACCAUUACUGACACUGAGACACGAAAGCGUGGGUAGCAAACAGG
rnacentral:rRNA from 1 species